rnacentral:misc_RNA from 1 species
GCGGAUAGUCGGCCGGAGGGUAAGAAACUCUCCCUCUGCGUCGGGGUCGUGUGUAGUUACGGAAAAUUCGGGACGAAAGCCUCGCCCUUCAGGGCGGGGAUGAAGCCGACCAACAGUAUGC